AUUCCAGCUCCAAUAGCGUAUAUUAAUGUUGUUGCAGUUAAAAAGCUCGUAGUUGGAUUCCUGGCCUGGGGUAGCCGGUCCGCCUUGCAAAAGGUGCGCACUGAGCGGCCUCGGCCAUCCUUGGGAAGAGCAGUCCUGGCAUUCAGUUGUCGGGGUUGGGAUUCCCGACGUUUACUGUGAAAAAAUCAGAGUGUUCAACGCAGGCUUACGCCUUGAAUACAUUAGCAUGGAAUAAUGAGAUAGGACCUGAGUUCUAUUAUGUUGGUUUAUACACUUAGAGAAUGAUUAACAGGGACAGUUGGGGGUAUUCAUAUUUACAUGUCAGAGGUGAAAUUCUUGGAUUUUGGAAAGAUGAACUACUGCGAAGGCAUUUACCAAGGAUGUUUUCAUCG
rnacentral:rRNA from 1 species